CCACUACUCCCUCCGUUCGGAAUUACUUGUCGCAGAAAUGGAUGUAUCUAGACGUAUUUUAGUUCUAGAUACAUCCAUUUCCGAGACAAGUAAUUCCGAACGGAGGGAGUACAUA
rnacentral:pre_miRNA from 1 species